AAGGCCCCGCCCCCCUGGAGAAUGCCCUUUACCCCCGACAGGAAAAAAGGAGCGGGCAUCAGGCACGCAACAGUAGCCCAAAACGCCUUGCUUAGCCACACCCCCAAGGGAACUCAGCAGGGAUAAACAUUAAGCCAUGAGCGAAAGCUCGACUUAGUUAGGGUUGAAAGGGCCGGUAAAACUCGUGCCAGCCACCGCGGUUAUACGAGGGGCCCAAAUUGAUCCACUACGGCGUAGAGUGUGAUUAGAGAUAAACUUAAACUAGAGCCAAACACCCCCUAUGCUGUCAUACGUCAUGGGGAGCAUGAAGCCCAACAACGAAAGUGGCUCUAUACAUCUUCAACUCACGACAGCUAAGAUACAAACUGGGAUUAGAUACCCCACUAUGCUUAGCCUUAAACCAAGGUGAUUAACUUACAAAACUCACCCGCCAGGGGACUACGAGCAUUAGCUUAAAACCCAAAGGACUUGGCGGUGCCUCAAACCCGCCUAGAGGAGCCUGUCCUAUAACCGAUAAUCCUCGUUAAACCUCACCCCUUCUUGCCAAUUCCGCCUAUAUACCGCCGUCGCCAGUUUACCUUGUGAGAGAGAAACAGUAAGCAAAAAGGGCAACACCCCACACGUCAGGUCGAGGUGUAGCGAAUGGAGGGGGAAGAGAUGGGCUACAUUUUCUGACCCAGAAAUAUCACGAACAGUGCAAUGAAAUACGCACAGCCGAAGGUGGAUUUAGCAGUAAAA
rnacentral:rRNA from 1 species